rnacentral:guide_RNA from 1 species
AAAUAAAACAAAACGUAAAUGAUAACUGUGAGAU